rnacentral:rRNA from 1 species
GAUGAACGCUGGCGGCGUGCCUAAUACAUGCAAGUCGAGCGAACAGACGAGUAGCUUGCUCCUCUGACGUUAGCGGCGGACGGGUGAGUAAAACGUGGAUCACCUACCUAUAAGACUGGGAUAACUUCGUGAAACCGGAGCUAAUACCGUAUAAUAUAUUGAACCGCAUGGUUCAAUAGUUCAAGACGGUUUUGCUGUCACUUAUAGCUGUAUCCGGGCCGCAUUAGCUAGUUGGUAAGGUAACGGCUUACCAAGGCGACAAUGCGUAGCCGACCUGAGAGGGUGUAGGGGCACACAGGAAGUGAGACGCGGUACAGAAUCCUACGGGAGGCAGCAGUAGGGAAUCGUCCGAAAUGGGCGAAAGACUGAAGGAGCAACGCAGCGUGAGUGAUGAAGGUCUGCGGAUCGUAAAACUCUGUUAUGAGGGAAGAACAAAUGUGGAAGUAACUAUGCACGUUUUGACGGUACCUAAUCAGAAAGCAACGGCUAACUACGUG